UACGUAGGGCGCAAGCGUUAUCCGGAAUUAUUGGGCGUAAAGAGCCCGUAGGCGGUUUGUCGCGUCUGCCGUGAAAGUCCGGGGCUCAACUCCGGAUCUGCGGUGGGUACGGGCAGACUAGAGUGAUGUAGGGGAGACUGGAAUUCCUGGUGUAGCGGUGAAAUGCGCAGAUAUCAGGAGGAACACCGAUGGCGAAGGCAGGUCUCUGGGCCACUACUGACGCUGAGAAGCGAAAGCAUGGGGAGCGAACAGG
rnacentral:rRNA from 1 species